GACGAACGCUGGCGGCGUGCUUAACACAUGCAAGUCGAACGGAAAGGCCCAGCUUUUGUGGGGUGCUCGAGUGGCGAACGGGUGAGUAACACGUGAGUAACCUGCCCUUGACUUUGGUAUAACUUCAGGAAACUGGGGCUAAUACCGGAUAGCAGCUCCUGCUGCAUGGUGGGGGUUGGAAAGUUUCGGCGGUUGGGGAUGGACUCGCGGCUUAUCAGCUUGUUGGUGGGGUAGUGGCUUACCAAGGCUUUGACGGGUAGCCGGCCUGAGAGGGUGACCGGCCACAUUGGGACUGAGAUACGGCCCAGACUCCUACGGGAGGCAGCAGUGGGGAAUAUUGCACAAUGGGCGGAAGCCUGAUGCAGCAACGCCGCGUGCGGGAUGACGGCCUUCGGGUUGUAAACCGCUUUCGCCUGUGACGAAGCGUGAGUGACGGUAAUGGGUAAAGAAGCACCGGCUAACUACGUG
rnacentral:rRNA from 1 species